UGAGGGCCUAACUGACCAGGUUGGAACAGGUGACAGACAACAGACAGGUAAAACAUAACACAGAGGACGGUGAAGGCAAAUCUUUGAGGAAGGCAACUUCAGGACGGUUGAAGAAACGUUACACUGACGUUAGUUGGACGUUUGGCCUGAGGAAGGAUGAAGAUGACGUUGUUUACUAUCAUGACGGAUUCUUACUUAAAGACAUCACCUGGUUCAAGGGAGUUUCGGACAAUCGCACAAAGUCAUUUGUAGCCGUUGGGCAAGGAAAUCGAAAGGACUGGGUGGAUCUUGCAGAGGAGAAAACAGAGGACAGGAUUCAGCAGCAUGUGGACUAGAGGUUUCCCAAUUGACUUUGCAGGCUGCUGACCGGUAGGGUCUUUGUAAUUGCAAACUGAAUUAAUUGGAGUACCCUCCUGUCUUGUCCUUUCAAGGUGGCCUCAAGUACCUGUUUACCCCUGGUCAGAAGCUACUAUAAAGCAGCCCCCCCCCCUCCCA